AUGUUCCUCAGACAAAUUGCAGGAAUUGCACCUGAUGGGACAGGAACUCUAGCGAAUUGGAUGGGACACCGCACCAGCUUGGUCAUUCUUGAUCUCAGCGUAAACAACAUUACUGGACCUAUACCAAAAAUUAUAGGGCAAUUCAUAGAUCUGAAGGCUCUAUACCUCUCUGUCAACCACCUGACUGGACACCUGCCAUCUGAAAUUGGUACUCUCACUAAUUUGAGUUGUUUACAUCUUAGUCAGAAUCACUUGGAUGGUCUGGUUACAGAAGAACACUUCAAUGGUCUAAAAAGCUUAGAGCGCAUAAACUUAGCUGACAAUCAAUUGGAGAUUGUGGUGGGUUCAGAAUGGGUUCCUCCCUUUAGACUGCAAGAAGCUUAUUUUGCAUCUUGCCAGAUGGGUCCUCUAUUUCCUGCAUGGCUUAAGUGGCAAGUGGAUCUUACUUACCUUGACAUCUCAAGCGCAGGAAUAACCGGUAGGUUUCCAGAUUGGUCUCUAGUUCCUUCUCAAAGAUCACACACUUGGAUAUCUCCAAUAACCGAAUAA
rnacentral:rRNA from 1 species